rnacentral:rRNA from 1 species
GUCUGGGGAUCUGCCCGGUAGAGGGGGAUAACCACUGGAAACGGUGGCUAAUACCGCAUAAUGUCGCAAGACCAAAGUGGGGGACCUUCGGGCCUCACACUACCGGAUGAACCCAGAUGGGAUUAGCUAGUUGGUGGGGUAACGGCUCACCAAGGCGACGAUCCCUAGCUGGUCUGAGAGGAUGACCAGCCACACUGGAACUGAGACACGGUCCAGACUCCUACGGGAGGCAGCAGUGGGGAAUAUUGCACAAUGGGCGCAAGCCUGAUGCAGCCAUGCCGCGUGUAUGAAGAAGGCCUUCGGGUUGUAAAGUACUUUCAGCGGGGAGGAAGGGAGUGAGGUUAAUAACUUCAUUCAUUGACGUUACCCGCAGAAGAAGCACCGGCUAACUCCGUGCCAGCAGCCGCGGUAAUACGGAGGGUGCAAGCGUUAAUCGGAAUUACUGGGCGUAAAGCGCACGCAGGCGGUCUGUUAAGUCAGAUGUGAAAUCCCCGGGCUCAACCCGGGAACUGCAUUUGAAACUGGCAGGCUUGAGUCUCGUAGAGGGGGGUGGAAUUCCAGGUGUAGCGGUGAAAUGCGUAGAGAUCUGGAGGAAUA